GAAGUCUGGUAAUGAACCAAGACUCAUCAGCUGAUUUGGGUCAGAACAAGUACAGGCUCUCCCAGCUCGUUUUAAGCAUGGCUGUUACCAUGUCAGCACUAGGAAAUUUUCUAAAACCGUGCAAACGCUUGAUCGCUGAUUCCAUUAGGGAUGACAGUCUGAGCAAUUUUCUCCCCUUUUUGUUUUCCAGAGGCUGCUGUUUCUUCUGAAAUCUUCCGGGGGGUGAAGGUCAGAAGGUGAGCCACAGAACCGCUGUUCCCUCGUUUCGGACUUCUCCAAUUUUAAGGAACGUAAGAAUUAUGGAGGAUCUUGUUAAAAAGCAGAUUCGGAUUCAGCAGACCUGGGGGUGCGGGGGGAGGAGCUGUGACUCUGCCUUGCCAAAGAGCUCCCAGGUGGUCGCAGUGCUGCUGGGCUUUGGACCACCCGGAGGAGCGAGGCUCUGGUUAAUUUGUAUCUCUAUUUCCCGUUUCAAGCUGAUGCAUGUUAGUAUGAUGAAGAGUACCUUUUCUAAUCUGCUCCUCAGACGCCGUUGGAAAUGAAGAAUGAAUAAGUAAUGUUUUCAAAGCCCGUGGGAAAUCAUGAGGCUACAGAUUCUAUCUUCUGAACUAACAGUCUGGAGAGGAAUAGUUCCAGCAAACUCUUUGGUGCACGAAGCGCGGCCCGUUUAACAGGAGCCAGGAGACAUCUCGGUGCUGUUUCUGAGAAAGCAGGGUGGGUCCCCACCUUUAAUGGAAGGGAAACGAAGUUGCCUACAGUGUCAGCCUUGGGCAGGAGGAUUUACAGUGUGCCUGGAUUUGUUACAUUUUUUUCUUUUAAAACGACAUCCCCAUGAAAGUCUCCUUUUGGGAGUUUGGGAGUUGCGCCUGGUGGACGCAACUACUCUGAUAAAUAGAUUUUAAGACAAAAUGCAUUAGUAGGCAUAAAGAAGGUCAUUUCAUAACCUACCACAGACAAUUCACCAUGUGCGUGUACGGAAUAAUAUGCCCUCAAAUAUAUUUAAAGCAGAAAUCGAUUGAUUUAUAAAGAGAAAUUUGAAAAUCCGUAUGUACAGAUUUUUUUUUUUUUAAGAUUUUAUUUUUUCCUUUUUCUCCCCAAAGCCCCCCGGUACAUAGUUGUGUAUUCUUCGUUGUGGGUUCUUCUAGUUGUGGCACGUGGGACGCUGCCUCAGCGUGGUCUGAUGAGCAGUGCCAUGUCCGCGCCCAGGAUUCGAACCAACGAAACACUGGGCCGCCUGCAGCGGAGCGCGCGAACUUAAUCACUCGGCCACAGGGCCAGCCCCUGUAUGUACAGAUUUUUACAAACAUAUCUCUUAGUAAUCGAUAGAGUAAAAGGUCAAAAAUUAGUAAAGAUAUUGAAGGUUUGAACAAUCCAAUUAACUAGCUUGAUCUAGUCUACAGAUAUAUAACCCAACAGCUGAUCGCUUGCUGGACCACGAAGGAAAUCUCCUCCACAAUAGCAAAGACUCAGCAACAUACAGAAUGUGUUCUCUGACCAGAGGCUAAUAAAAUAUGAACUUGAAAAGAAAAAGAUACUUGAAAUUAUAUUUUGGGAAAUUAGAGAGACGGAAAGACACUUCUAAAGACUGUUUGGACAACGCAACAGUCAAAAUAGAAUAAGUUAUGCUGCCGUAAUGCACAGACCUGAAAUCCCUCAAUAUCUUAAAACAAUGGAGGUUUAUUUCCCACUCAGGGUACAUUUCCAGUGUAAUCAGCUGGGAGCUCGGUCCCACAUUUUCCUCACUCUGGGACCUGAUGGAGCUUCCACCACUGGGCAUUACCAGAUAGUACGUAGCUCUUAAAGUUUUCUGCCCCAAAAUGACAGACAUCAUUUCCACUCAUACGAUGUUGUCCAGAGCACGUCUAUUGCCAUGGCUGACUUCAAGAAGGAGGGGCCCUGACCAGAAAGAGGAGAACUGGACACGUCAGUGACCAGCACCAAAGAUGAUCACGAAGAGGAAAUAAUCAAGAAAGCGGGGAAACAUUUACACUUAAAGAAUAAUGAAAAUGUAACAUUAAAACUUGUAGGAUGUAGCUAAAGCGGUAGAGUAAAAUUUACAACCCUAAAUGAUUAUAUUAGAAAGAGGAGACGGACAAUUACAGACCUAACCGUUUAUUCAAGAAAGUAAAGUAUCCUAAAAAUAGCGGAGAAAAGAAAAUAAUUAAGAGAUACAUUGAUGAAACAGUCACAGAAACCAAAACACAAUAUAGAGAAAUGGAAAAAAAUAAAACUGCUGACUGGUCGGGCUCCUUAGAAGCAGACUCUGAGAUGAGGAGAAGUGUGUCCCAGACCUAUUAAUCUACCCUUGAUUAAAAAGUCUGUUCU
ensembl:lncRNA